rnacentral:lncRNA from 1 species
CUUCAUCGAGAUAUGUUCUCAUAUGCACAAAUAAACAAACCAAGCACCUGCAUGUGCCAGCAAGAUUACAGCCCUACAUCAGCAAUACUACCUUUAUAUCUUUUGUAUAUAUACACAUGGUGCAUUCAUAAUUUCCACAUCAUUAGCAUCAUCACCGUUUUAUCGAUAUUUUAUUUGAAAACAUAUAAAUGAUAUAUAAAUAGUAAUCAAAGAUACAUAACAUGAUGGCACAUCGGGCAAGAACUUCUCACCAUAAAAAAUGUGGGCAAUGGUAGACCAUAGAAUCAUCAUGUAAUCUAUGAGAAAAAAAGUCUACUUACUAUUUUUUAUCAAAAUAUCAGCAUGAUACUAAAGCAUCAUUCUUCUCUUUAAAGUUACUGCUUAUCAGACAUGCACGUUACUUGCUCAGGAAGAUGUGAUUCUUCCCCAGAUUUAUCUGUUGGGUGCAUUGAAGUCAGCUUAUCAACUGUCUAAUUUAGCUACUGAUCUGCUUCCCUUGUCACUCAGUUUCUGAUGAAUUAUUUCAGUUUGAACCACUUUUACCAUUGGAAAGAUUCAUUUUGUGUUCGUUGAAUUGGAAUAGUACACAAGACUGUAGUCAACUCUCCAGUUCUAAUGCUUGGGUCAAUUAUCAAUGACAGACUAGAUUCUCUCAGUUGUUUACACAAUUUUUUUAAUUUUUGUAUAUGCUGGUCUAUAUUCUGCUCUGAGCCUCUGACAUCAUCUAACUCCUGAGAUGCAUAUCAAGCUUAAAGGUGUGACUUGUAGGAAACUAGUAAAACUAGGUCGAAGCUAGAUCCCAUGAUAAAGAAGAUGAGUGAAUCACCUGACAAUUGAUUCUCCAAUUCUAGCAUUCUAGCACUUGCUAAAUCAGGAAAUUCUUAUCACCCUGGCUAGAAUAUGUUAAAGCUGACAGUGUAUAGAAUGUUUUAGCAAGUUUGAAUAACAAAAAUCAAGUAUGUGAGAGACUAAAGGCCUCUUUGAUCAACUACAACUGCUACUACAGGAACCAUUAUGGUAGAGUAGCAUCACAUGGAUCAAAUGAGUAAAGCCUUUUCACUAGAACUACUUAUUUUAGUUUCUUGAUAAGAUUCGUUGAAUCAGGGAACAUCACCAAUUAUACACUAGCAAGUCUGAACUUUGUUCAAUGCCUCAAAUAAUUUGGUGGAUGAGAAACUGAUUUACACUCAAAUUCGAAUCAACCCUAGUAAAAUGCCAAUUUUGUCAUAUCAUUGAUCUCGAUGAGCACCUAAUGGCAGCACUUGGCCACCACAGAAUGGAACAGCUAGAACUCGCAGUUAGUCCACAGUAUCUCAAACACAUUCCAUUUAGAUAAACAUUUCAAACAACCUGAUAAACCGCAUUUUCCAUAUUCCACUUGAUACAAAACCAGUAUACAGAAAAAGAGGCUAACCGAACAUAAGUGAAAAGGAUUAAAGCUUCUAAAAUAUAACCAUGUGGCCUGCAACUCCAUCUAAAUUUUCAUCAUUUUCUCUAUCAAAUGCACACAACUGCACCUUCAAAUCAUAUAUACACACAUUGAACUACCGAUGUAGGCAACUGGAUUACACUGCUAAUCUAAACACUCUAAAACUUGCCCCAAAGAUCUAAGUUAUGUUGAAUGAGUCAGUUUAAAGAAAAGCAAACACCAAAUAAGAAAUGGAAGUUGCAAGUAGGUCUAUGCACGUGAAAGAUAAAAGUUUUUUAGCCAUUGUAUAUAUCCAUCUACCGUUCUUAACUGAAUCUUUUCUUAAAGGCUUUGCCUCACUUUAUGACAAUAAAAGAAGAAAAGCAACAACAAAGAACAAACACUUUCCGAGAAAAAAA